UAUCUCCUGCCGUGUUCGACAGUGUGCUGGGUGUUUCCUGAACCUGUAUUACCCCAGGGGGCUGAUGCCUGUCAUGGUGCGCAUGCCCGCUUUAUGCGGGAAGCCUGAUUGGCCGGCCACGCCCCCACUUGAACCGCCGGUUCAAGGACGAAAGCACACACCGGCACAGGCGGGAGAUGC
rnacentral:other from 1 species